UUCCUGUUUUGCGACGCAGUUUUGCCAAUCCGUCGCAAAAUUUUACUUUUUUCUCUUUCAUUUGCGACGGCCUUAAAAUCGUCGCAAAUAAUAAUUCCUAAUUUCGCGCCAAAGCCCCCUCUCCCACUCUCCCUCUUUCCCGAUAUUCCCAAAUUCUUUGUUAUCUCUCAUCAGAUCAAAAAAAAAAAAGCCCUAAUUUCACUGCUCUCUCUCCCUCCCUCUCACCCAGUCGUCACUCUAUCUCUCUUGCACCGGCAACAGCAGCGCCUAGGUAACCAACCCUCUUCUUUCCUGUCGCUCUUGCUCACGCAUACCCUCCCUCUCACCCAGUCGUCGUUCUGUCUCUCGUGCAGCGGUAACAACAGCGUCUGCAGCAGCGGCAACACCGUCUCUCUUGCAGCGGCAACAACACCGUCUCUCUGGUUCUCCCUCCGGCAUCCAGGACUUUUCCUACGAACCCAUUUUGGCUGAGAUCAAGAAGCUUCUGUUUCUUCAAUUUGGCUGGAUUUAGAGACACUUCGCUGCUGAAAUUGUUUUCUGGAGAGUGUAAUCUGUUUGAGAUUGGUUAAAUCUCCCAACCCAUCUGGGAUUUCACCAAAGACGAGUGACUCUGCUUCGGCUAUAUUGCAGCAGCAAGGAGUGAACAACGAUUAGGGUUUCAGGCGAUCCUCCAUCGUUGGAGCUAUGAAUCCAUUGACGCUAGUGAAACGAAUUCAGAAUAUCAAUUCGAAAGAAGCUGCGUUAGGUAUUUCUGAACAAGCUUCCUGGCACGCCAAGUACAAAGAUUCUGCUUAUGUCUUUGUCGGAGGCAUUCCCUUUGAUCUCACUGAAGGCGAUCUUCUUGCUGUUUUUGCACAGAUGUAAUUAAAGUUUCUUUGGAGAGUUCUAUAAUACCAAGAGUCCAAUUGGCAGAGGGACUUCUUAUUAGUGUUGAUCCGUUGUGCGAAAUUGAUGGAGUUCCAAUUGGCUCUGGAUUUUGCAAAGUUUUUGUUUUAAAAGCGAACAAGUCGAACGCUGUUUUGGAAACAACAUCCCAAUGUCUUAGAACAGUUGGAGAAGCUAUGGGAAGAUACAUUGUGUGGCGCUCGAUUCAGGUGCAACCUUUUGAAUGCAAACCUUUUGAGUACGUGAUAUCUUCACAUAUCGAUAUGGGAGCUUACUAUUGAUAUCAAAACAAGCUACAUUAUAUCUGUUUUUAUUUUUUUUUAUUUCUAUUGUCGAUACUAAAAAUUUGAGUUCUUUAAUUUCAAAAAUUAUUAGUAUUGUUAGAGGUUAUUUUAUAUAUUUUUGUAAAUAAUAUUUGAUUGACAAUUGUUACAAGGUACAUAUAUUAUUCUUGGUAUAUGAUUUUUUGAA